rnacentral:rRNA from 1 species
AAACUUUCAACAACGGAUCUCUUGGCUCUACCAUCGAUGAACAACGCAGCGUAAUGCGAUAAGUAAUGUGAAUUGCAGAAUUCAGUGCAUCAUCGAAUCUUUGAACGCACAUUGCGGCUGGCAGUAUUCUGCCAGGCAUGCCUGUCCGAGCGUCAUU